GCCUGCAGCAACUAAGACCUGGCACAGCCAAAUAAAUAAAUACCAAUUUAGAAGAGAAAAAAAGCUUGAAACUCAGCCUCAAGAUGGAAAAGUGUCCUCUGGCAGGCUCAGGGAGACACCCACCACCCGCCUUGGUUCAGAAGCCUGCUGUUCUGCAUCAGUGUCAGCUCUCCACUCUUUGUCUCCAAAGGGAGUGCUUGUUUGCUCCUCUUGAAUUUAAAUCGAGGGGGGAAGUGUUGCAGACUCUUGGUUAACCACCUCAGAAAACCGAGCUGAUCCAGCCACAGCCAACCUCACGCCAUGGAAAGCAGAACAUAGUAUGUGUGUGUGUGUGUGUGUGUGUGUGUGUGUGUGUGUGGUGUGUGUGUGUGUGGUGCAUGUGUGUGUGUGUGGUGUAUGUGGUGUGUGUGGUGUAUGUGUGUGUGUGGUAUGUGUGUGGUGUGUGUGUGUGUGGUGUGUGUAUGUGUGUGUGGUAUGUGUAUAUGUGGUGUGUGUGUGAUGUGUAUGGUGUGUGUAUAUGUGGUGUGUAUAUGUGGUGUGUGUGUGAUGUGUGUGGUGUGUGUAUAUGAGGUGUGUGUGUGGUGUGUGUGUGUGUGGUGUGUGUGGUGUGUGUAUAUGUGGUAUGUGUGUGGUGUGUGUAUGAUGUGCGUGUGUGGUGUGUGUAUAUAUGGUGUGUGUGUGUGGUGUGUGUGUGGUGUGUGUAUAUGUGGUAUGUAUGUGGUGUGUGUGUGUGUGUGGUGUGUGUGUGUGUGUGGUGUGUGUAUAUGUGGUAUGUGUGUGGUGUGUGUAUGAUGUGCGUGUGUGGUGUGUGUAUAUAUGGGGUGUGUGUGUGGUGUGUGUGUGUGUGUGUGUGUGGUGUGUGUGUGGUGUGUGUAUAUGUGGUGUGUCUGUAUGUGGUGUGUGUGUGUGGUGUGUGUGUCUGUGUGUGGUGUGUGUGUGUGUGUAGGCUGCAUAAACUCAUUGCCAUCUUCCCUUGUCCCUUCCAGCUGUGAGGGUUUCCUAGGGCUGUUCCUCUCUUCUGGAGGGAGCGGCAGGGGCGGGGAACAGGAGAGGAGGCAGCGUUGGGAGACACUUUGGAGAGUGUCUGUGGCAGAAAUAGACUGUGUGCAAGCAAAUAGGGCAGAGAGAGAGAAGUUCGAGCAGGGCCCAUGUAAGUGUAGUGCCGGGAACAUUCCUGCGGUUCUCAGGACUGGGGAAAACGACUUGCAGAUCUGGACAAGCCCAGGCAGGGAGGGGUGCAGUGGGAUGGAUGAGGGCCAGAGCUAAAAAUAAGACGGUAUUUCUAGCCGAGCAGAAGAGUUAGCAUCUGUGGGACCGUGUGAGCAGAGGAGAGUGUUGGCGCCACCAAGCACAGUGAGGCCAGAAAAGUGGGGAGGGGUCGCCGGGUGUCAGUCUCAGCCUUGAGAGAGGAUGACGCUGCCCCCAAAAAGGAGACUGCUCUCUUCUUCCCAGCCCAGAGAAGCCCAGAGUCUGGGCAGGGGAGGACCGAGCCUGUCCCGCAGCCGGACAAAGGCUCAGGGCAGUUGCUGCAAGCCCAACCCCCAGGCUGGCCUGACCGUCCCCUCCCCCAGAGUAGCAGAGCCGGGAGGGCCGCCUCCAAACCUCCUCCCCAACGAGCCAUUAAGGAGCCCAAGAGUGGCCUGCAGUCCGCAGUCCCGGAAGGGAGACAGUAUUUAGUGGUUGUGCACUGUGCAGAGAUGUUUCCCAUAGGGUCCCACAGUGAUCCCGGAAUACUUGGGAAUCCACCUGCCAAUGUAGAGGACAUGGGUCUGAUCCCUCGCCCAGGAAGAUCCCACAUGCUGCAGAGCAACUUAGCCCAAGUGCUGUAAGUACUGAGCCUGUGCUCUCGAGCUUACAAGCUACACCUACUGAAGCCGACACACCCCAGAGCCCGUGCUCCCCAACAAGAGGAGCCGCCGCAGUGAGAAGCCUGUGCACCUCAACUAGAGUGACCCCCGCUCGCCGCAACAAGAGAAAGGCCAAGGGCAGCAACAAAGGCCCAGGGCAGCCACAAAUACAUAAAUCAAUAAAUUUUUAAGAGGAUGUGAACAUUAGGGGGAAGUUGGACUAUCUUUGCAACUUUUCUGUAUAAACCUAAAAUUAUUCCAAAAUAGAAGAGUUAUUAAGAGAGACCUGGAAAAGGAAAUGGCUACCCACUCCACGACUCUUGCCUAGGAAAUCACAUGGACAGAGGAGCCUGGCGGGCUACGGAAUAUGGAGUCACAGAGAGCCAGACACAACUAGGCAGCUAACACUUUUGCCUUCACUUUUUCCUUCAAUUCUAACUCAUCAACAUCAAGACGCUGUUAUCUGUCCAGGUCAGGUGACAGCUUCCUGACUGAGGACAUAGCUGUUGAUGGCUGAUGUGUGUUGUACAAGAUCACUUGUGCAAAUAUGUAUUUUGUCUGAAAUUUUGUUUAAAAAAUUUAUUUACAAUGCUACUUGAAUGAUUUCUUAUAAAUGCUG
ensembl:lncRNA